GAUGAACGCUGGCGGCGUGCCUAAUACAUGCAAGUCGAGCGAACGGACGAGAAGCUUGCUUCUCUGAUGUUAGCGGCGGACGGGUGAGUAACACGUGGAUAACCUACCUAUAAGACUGGGAUAACUUCGGGAAACCGGAGCUAAUACCGGAUAAUAUUUUGAACCGCAUGGUUCAAAAGUGAAAGACGGUCUUGCUGUCACUUAUAGCUGGAUCCGCGCUGCAUUAGCUAGUUGGUAAGGUAACGGCUUACCAAGGCAACGAUGCAUAGCCGACCUGAGAGGGUGAUCGGCCACACUGGAACUGAGACACGGUCCAGACUCCUACGGGAGGCAGCAGUAGGGAAUCUUCCGCAAUGGGCGAAAGCCUGACGGAGCAACGCCGCGUGAGUGAUGAAGGUCUUCGGAUCGUAAAACUCUGUUAUUAGGGAAGAACAUAUGUGUAAGUAACUGUGCACAGCUUGACGGUACCGAAUCAGAAAGCCACGGCUAACUACGUG
rnacentral:rRNA from 1 species